rnacentral:ncRNA from 1 species
GCAAUCCGGAGAAGCCCUUAUAUUUGGGUGCCGAAGGUGCAACGCCGCAUGAAACGGCUAAUCUCUCAGGCAAAAGGACGGAUGCA